GAUGAACGCUGGCGGCGUGCCUAAUACAUGCAAGUCGAGCGAACGGACGAGAAGCUUGCUUCUCUGAUGUUAGCGGCGGACGGGUGAGUAACACGUGGAUAACCUACCUAUAAGACUGGGAUAACUUCGGGAAACCGGAGCUAAUACCGGAUAAUAUUUUGAACCGCAUGGUUCAAAAGUGAAAGACGGUCUUGCUGUCACUUAUAGAUGGAUCCGCGCUGCAUUAGCUAGUUGGUAAGGUAACGGCUUACCAAGGCAACGAUGCAUAGCCGACCUGAGAGGGUGAUCGGCCACACUGGAACUGAGACACGGUCCAGACUCCUACGGGAGGCAGCAGUAGGGAAUCUUCCGCAAUGGGCGAAAGCCUGACGGAGCAACGCCGCGUGAGUGAUGAAGGUCUUCGGAUCGUAAAACUCUGUUAUUAGGGAAGAACAUAUGUGUAAGUAACUGUGCACAUCUUGACGGUACCUAAUCAGAAAGCCACGGCUAACUACGUGCCAGCAGCCGCGGUAAUACGUAGGUGGCAAGCGUUAUCCGGAAUUAUUGGGCGUAAAGCGCGCGUAGGCGGUUUUUUAAGUCUGAUGUGAAAGCCCACGGCUCAACCGUGGAGGGUCAUUGGAAACUGGAAAACUUGAGUGCAGAAGAGGAAAGUGGAAUUCCAUGUGUAGCGGUGAAAUGCGCAGAGAUAUGGAGGAACACCAGUGGCGAAGGCGACUUUCUGGUCUGUAACUGACGCUGAUGUGCGAAAGCGUGGGGAUCGAACAGGAUUAGAUACCCUGGUAGUCCACGCCGUAAACGAUGAGUGCUAAGUGUUAGGGGGUUUCCGCCCCUUAGUGCUGCAGCUAACGCAUUAAGCACUCCGCCUGGGGAGUACGACCGCAAGGUUGAAACUCAAAGGAAUUGACGGGGACCCGCACAAGCGGUGGAGCAUGUGGUUUAAUUCGAAGCAACGCGAAGAACCUUACCAAAUCUUGACAUCCUUUGACAACUCUAGAGAUAGAGCCUUCCCCUUCGGGGGACAAAGUGACAGGUGGUGCAUGGUUGUCGUCAGCUCGUGUCGUGAGAUGUUGGGUUAAGUCCCGCAACGAGCGCAACCCUUAAGCUUAGUUGCCAUCAUUAAGUUGGGCACUCUAAGUUAACUGCCGGUGACAAACCGGAGGAAGGUGGGGAUGACGUCAAAUCAUCAUGCCCCUUAUGAUUUGGGCUACACACGUGCUACAAUGGACAAUACAAAGGGCAGCGAAACCGCGAGGUCGAGCAAAUCCCAUAAAGUUGUUCUCAGUUCGGAUUGUAGUCUGCAACUCGACUACAUGAAGCUGGAAUCGCUAGUAAUCGUAGAUCAGCAUGCUACGGUGAAUACGUUCCCGGGUCU
rnacentral:rRNA from 1 species